UACGGGGGGGCAAGCGUUGUUCGGAAUUACUGGGCGUAAAGGGCGCGUAGGCGGCCAUCUAAGUCAGACGUGAAAUCCCUCGGCUCAACCGAGGAACUGCGUCUGAUACUGGAAGGCUUGAAUCCGGGAGAGGGAUGUGGAAUUCCAGGUGUAGCGGUGAAAUGCGUAGAUAUCUGGAGGAACACCGGUGGCGAAGGCGGCAUCCUGGACCGGUAUUGACGCUGAGGCGCGAAAGCUAGGGGAGCAAACGGG
rnacentral:rRNA from 1 species